CGCGGUGGGCUGCACAAAAAGUAGCUCAAAAGCAAAAACCUUUCAGGCGUAUACAAAUUCUGAGGGAUCAGUACAUCUUUACUGCCUGCAGUACCAGCCUUGAUCUUCUUAUCUGCCCGCUGACUGAAGGACCUUAAUAUCUACAAUAGCAGUCAAUACUACAAUAACUUUGAGGUUUGAGUUUUCUCCUGUUAUUGCAUAAGGAAAAACUUCCUUCUUGGAGGCUGUUGAAGAACUAGGACAUAUUGUGCACUUCAACCUGAAAAAGAGGUCUCUUUAUCCAGGUGGAUCUUCCAAAAUGUGAUGUUAAUUCAUGCACUUCCUAACAAGUCUAAUACCUCUCCCAGCAGAGGUAUGCCUGCAGUGCAAAUCCAAGGAAUGACUGCUGUUCGUGGAAGUAUCCAUCUCACAGAUGGGCUCCAGCCACUGAUCAGAAGCCAGUGGAGCUGUAGAUGUGGAUUGUAAAGAAGUCUGUUCAUAUUUUACAAACAGAAGGAUGCAGCUUUCUCCCUGUGUAUUUGUAGCUUAGAAAGAAUGAGCCAACCCCAGCAAUAACAGUAACAAAAAUAACCUAGUAUGGACCAGAAGCCUAUUAAAAAAAAAAGUUAUGUAAUCUCUCUA